rnacentral:lncRNA from 1 species
CACAUAUAUGCAUACUACCAUCAUCUCCGAACCAUACCAUAAAUACAACGAUGCACUAAGCAUUGGACCAUGACUUAGUCACUUCAACUUUACAGCCCUGCACGGCCACGGCUCUUGUUCUCCUACUAUUGUAGAAAGGCAUUCUUCCAUAACGUAACCUUGCUAAUAUGACAACAACUUGAUGAGUCUAUUGACUUGGAUUCUUUCGUUGCUGAAUACAAUUUUAGUAUUAUUCUGCACAGUAAUAGAACGACCAAUUUUGCUAGCUUAAUUUGAAGAUCAGAGCACUAAAAACGAGUAUAAUGAAUUCAAUGACCAAACCUGCUGUUUUUGUAUGUGCUGUCUUCUUUACCUUUUUUAGUAUAUCGAAAUAACAACUUUUUUUUUAGUACCCUCUUCGUUCACUUUUAGUUGUUCACUUUUGACUUUGCACACCCUUUAAAGAAAUAUAUAUGAAGUAUGUAUUUUAUAAUUUUACCCAUAAUAAUGAUAGCAUUUCCAAAAGUUUUGGGAGAUAAUUUGCAAAUCACGCCACGAGAAACGGAUUCGCAACAUGCUUAUUUUAAUUAUUUGAAAUUAUGGUCAAGUCACGUGAAACGCGCACUCGAAUUGGAGAUUGCGUAUCAUGACUAUGCUACGGAACCGUAUCCAUAAUUACGAUUAUCUUAUGAAGACGCGCUUAAAGCGACUAACGUGUUUGUGAGUUAUUUGAACUAAACUUUGGGAUUAUUAUGCAACCCUAUUACAUGAGCAUGUACAUGCUUUCUUCUAAGAAUCCAAACCAAGCCUACAGUCCCUUAAAGCUAACAAAUAAUAGUCCAUUACCAAAAUCUAAUUAGCAUCAUUUUGUCGGUCACAACACAUACGCCUAUAUCAGAACCCAUGUUCAAAUUAGCUCAUAGACAUCAAUUGGCAGACAUGAAUUCUUUUCUAAAUUCAAUAUAUUUCAAAUUAUUUUAUUUCAAACUCAACAAAUCAAACAGCCCCUUCCUACUACAUAUUACUACAAAUUCAUAAGAAAAACAAAAAUAUUCAUCUACCCCCUAAAAAUUUACAAACGGAUUCACUGUAUGUCAUGAGCACACCAAAUAUGAACUUAAAAAUUAGUAGUUAAUUAGUAAUAUUCUCAACAAGACAAGUUAGCUAAAUGAUCAUGAGCUAAUCUCCAUUAAACAAAUAAAGACAAAAUUCUCGUCUAGAGGCAUAGAGUAAACAGAGAACUUCUCCAAACAUUAUUCAAACAUAAACAAAGUAAGAUAUGAAAAUCAAAAGAUAAAAUAAAAUGGAUAGAGUUAGAAUGGGACCUUUAAAACGCGAACGCUAGCAGAGCCACUAAUCUAAACUUGAAAGCAGACCGGACCACCGAACGGAGUUUGACAAACUCAACUGACCUCGCCGAAACUCGAUUUUUGAAGUGAGUAAAGGCUAUUUUGAAGCUGUUUUGGGGUUGUAUUGGACGGGUUUUAUGGCUGUUUUGACGAGGUAUUUCAACUGAUUUUCUGGCAGCGUUUUUGGAGUGUUAAAGGGUCGUUUUGGGGCUGGUUUUGUGGUGGUUUCACGAGCUGGGUUUUGACAGCAUUUUGAGGUCGUGUUUGACUAAAAAAUGAAGCUGCCUUCUAGCUUGUUUUCAGCUGAAAGUGAAGUACUUUUGGGAGUUAUUUCAACUAGGUUUGGCUUGGUGUUCAUGGUGAUAGAGCUUAGUGGAGUUUCAUCGAUGGGUUGAUUAAGUUUUUGAGGAAGAAGAAGCCUCUGCUGUUGAAGGAGGAGUAGACCAGUCCCUUUUUUUUUUU